AUGUGGCUUUACAAGUCUAGAUUCAUACUCAUGUCAUCACUGGAAUUCCUUCCAACUUCACAAGACCUGCAGAGACAGAUUCACCGAGGAGACAGUCUCAGACCCAGAGGCUACCGUGGAGGCUCUGAGCUUCUCCUGGGUGGGGCCUGGAAUGCUGGUGCAGGAGACUGGUUGGGUCAGAAUACAGUGACAUCCCAGCAUUUCUUAAGUUGGGGCACCAGCAGCCUCUGUACUGCCCUGGGACACACCAUUCUGCCAGAACGGAGACAAACAGCGGCUCACAAGCACGCUGCAGACAAAGCCCAGCCCCGGUGCCUGGUCAUCGCCCCUGACAGUCAAGCUGGAAUCUCUCUGUCCCAUCACUCACCGGCUGAAUGUCUACUGUGGCACCUCUGAGAGUCACCCGUCAGUGCCAGACACUGACCCUGCAGAGGGAAUUUGUUGCAUGGGAUUGGAAUCUGGGUUUGGCGCUGCUUGGUCAGUGCUGGGUGUCACUGGGGAUUGAAUCACUGCCCGGCACGCAGCAGGAGGUCAAUCCUCACAGACCCACAGCCUUCUCUUGCCCUGCUUGAUUCAUACCCGCUGUUUACCGUCCUCCCCCGCCCCCACCCCCGCCCCGCUCCAUCCCACAGCGCCCCACACUUGAUACGGUCGCUAAAAUCUGCAACCAAAGAAGCUCACAGCUCAGCCCAAAGAAGACAAAGUUUAGCCCUGCUGGGAUCUCGGCCACACCCCAGAGAGAAAUGACCCAGACCCGACACAAGUGUCUCCAAAUGCCCUCAAGUGACUCACAGCAAACCGAAAAAGGUGGCGCUCGGUGUCUCACUGGCGACUCCAUUCUCCACUUACCCAGGAGAAGUUACAGAGGAACCCGCCACCACCGUUGCCAGGCUUGUUCAUUUAUCCCUCUGUAUUUAAAGCCCUCCUCCCUCCGCUUCCACCAGGAGUCUUCACUGUGGCUAUGCACCUGAGUCAGCUGAGAGUAAUUAGAACCACUGUGGCCUCAGGCCUCCAGCAGAGAGCUUGAUUCAAUUGGGAAAGCAUGGUCCUUUGUGUUCACAGCUUCCAGAAUGACCCAGAGGAAUCCAGUGUGCAGCCAAGGCAGCUGAUCACACCUCUGACCCCUGAGUGUUGAGGAUGGGGGUGAGGGUGGGGUGGGAGCGGGGCAUGUUAAACUGGCAGUUCCCUCCACAUUCACGGUCGACCCGGUCACCAGUGCACCUGCAGCUGGCUCAUGCCUUCCAUUGGUGACCUCAGCUAUGCUCACAACCCUCCAAGUUUUUUCUCUAACUCUUCUUAGAUUUUAGUAGCUUUUAAGCUUUAAGUCUCUGGACUGUGAGUUGAAAAUCUGUUUAUGAAGCACCUAUGAAAGCAAAUUAUCACAUUUUGAAAACAG
rnacentral:lncRNA from 1 species